CCCAUCAUGUGGGGGUUGGAGGUCGCCCUGGAGUUGGGGGACCCCUGGUGUGUGGGGGUUGGAGGUCACCCUGGAGUUGGGGGACCCCUGGUGUGGGGGUUGGAGGUCACCCUGGAGUUGGGGGACCCCUGGUGUGUGGGGGUUGGAGGUCACCCUGGAGUUGGGGGACCCCUGGUGUGGGGGUUGGAGGUCACCCUGGAGUCGGGGGACCCCAUUGUGUGGGAGAUAGAGGUCACCCAGGGCCUGGGUGGGGAGCCCACGGUGUGGGGGUACAAAGGUCACCCUGGGGUUGAGAGACCCCCGUGGUGUGGAGGACAGAGGUCACCCUGGGGCUGGGGGUCCCUGCCAUGUGAGGGACGGGGGUCACCCUGGGGUUGGGGGACCCCGUCGUGUGGGGGACUGAGGUCACCCCGGAGUGGGGGGAACCCCACGGCUUAGGGGAAGGAGGUCGCCCUGGGUUUGGGGGACCCCGUCGUGUGGGGCUUGGGGGACCCCACGGCGUGAGGGAUGGAGGUCGCCCUGGACUUGGGGGUCCAGCUGGGGGAUGUUGGGGGGAGACGAGACCUGCUGGGUGCUGCGGCCUCAGGGUCCGGCGUCGGCCGAGGUGCUCGGUCCCCGUGUCCCACAUUGCCACAGAGACCUUUUGGGUCAUUUCCCCGCGGGGGGAGCCCGGCCCGCGGGCUGGCAGGGCUGGGGGCUCAGCUGGCGGCACCGACCUUGGCACGUCUCCUUGCCUUGCUGCCUGUACGUUUCUCGAGCCGAGCGCGCCGGGUGCUGCCGCGGGGGCCGUGCCUCAGUUUACCCACGCGCCCCGCUCUGCCUGAGCGGGUAGCUCUUGUGUUAUCCGUGUUUCUGGACACGCGGGACUGGGGAGGGACCGUGUCGCUAACCGAGCCCCGCAACCCGACGCGGGGAGCCCCGGCGCCGCACGCCGCGUCGGGGUGAUGCCGCGGCCCCGGCGCCUCGUCCGGCUCGUCGUCUGCCGCCGUGUUUAUUGCUUUGCUCCAUCCUCGCUUUUCCACCCCUGCCUGCGCCGUCUGCCUUGCCCUUCGCCCCCGGGGCCCGGCGGUUGGUUCGCCGUGCCGUGCUCGCGGCCGCGCCGCGUUCGCGCCCCGCGUCGUGCCGAGCCCGUGCGACUGCUUUGCAACGGCGGAGCCGGCGCGAGCACCCGGCUGCCGUCCCCAAACUUUGGGCGAGCGCCCGCUGCCAACCCUUGGAGCAGCAAGGGCGAGUGGCCGAGGCUCUUCCUCCUCCUCCUCCUCUUCCUCCUCCUCCGGCACCGAACCCCUUGGACCAGGGCAUCCCGACGCAGGUGAGGGGUGCACGGAGCCGGGGGGGGGGGCGGGUGCCGGGCUUGCCCGUGUGUGUGCGCCCGUCAGGCCACGAGUUGGGAGCCACGGGAGGGAGUUAAUGGAAGG